CCUACGGGAGGCAGCAGUGGGGAAUUUUGGACAAUGGGCGCAAGCCUGAUCCAGCAAUGCCGCGUGCAGGAUGAAGGCCUUCGGGUUGUAAACUGCUUUUGUACGGAACGAAAAGGUCUGCCCUAAUACGGCGGGCCCAUGACGGUACCGUAAGAAUAAGCACCGGCUAACUACGUGCCAGCAGCCGCGGUAAU
rnacentral:rRNA from 1 species